GAUGAACGCUAGCGAUAGGCUUAACACAUGCAAGUCGAGGGGCAGCAUUAUUUUAGCUUGCUAAGAUAGAUGGCGACCGGCGCACGGGUGCGUAACGCGUAUGCAACCUGCCUGUAAUUAGGGAAUAACCCGGUGAAAGUCGGACUAAUACCCUAUAUUCUUCUUUCUCCGCAUGGAGGAGGACGGAAAGAUUUAUUGAUUACAGAUGGGCAUGCGUCCCAUUAGCUAGUUGGUAAGGUAACGGCUUACCAAGGCAACGAUGGGUAGGGGGACUGAGAGGUUGACCCCCCACACUGGUACUGAGACACGGACCAGACUCCUACGGGAGGCAGCAGUGAGGAAUAUUGGUCAAUGGGCGAGAGCCUGAACCAGCCAAGUCGCGUGAAGGAAGACAGUCCUAAGGAUUGUAAACUUCUUUUAUACGGGAAUAACGGGCGAUACGAGUAUUGCAUUGAAUGUACCGUAAGAAUAAGCAUCGGCUAACUCCGUGCCAGCAGCCGCGGUAAUACGGAGGAUACGAGCGUUAUCCGGAAUUAUUGGGUUUAAAGGGUGCGUAGGUGGCGUAUUAAGUCAGUGGUGAAAAGCUGCAGCUCAACUGUAGUCUUGCCGUUGAAACUGAUAUGCUAGAGAGGAGACGAGGUAUGCGGAAUGUGUGGUGUAGCGGUGAAAUGCAUAGAUAUCACACAGAACGCCGAUUGCGAAGGCAGCGUACCAGGCUCCGUCUGACACUGAAGCACGAAAGCGUGGGGAUCAAACAGG
rnacentral:rRNA from 1 species